rnacentral:rRNA from 1 species
GAUGAACGCUGGCGGCGUGCCUAAUACAUGCAAGUCGAGCGAAUGGAUUAAGAGCUUGCUCUCAUGAAGUUAGCGGCGGACGGGUGAGUAACACGUGGGUAACCUGCCCAUAAGUCUGGGAUAACUCCGGGAAACCGGGGCUGAUACCGGAUAACAUUUUGAACCGCAUGGUUCGAAAUUGAAAGGCGGCUUCGGCUGUCACUUAUGGAUGGACCCGCGUCGCAUUAGCUAGUUGGUGAGGUAACGGCUCACCAAGGCAACGAUGCGUAGCCGACCUGGGAGGGUGAUCGGCCACACUGGGACUGGGACACGGCCCAGACUCCUACGGGAGGCAGCAGUAGGGAAUCUUCCGCAAUGGACGAAAGUCUGACGGAGCAACGCCGCGUGAGUGAUGAAGGCUUUCGGGUCGUAAAACUCUGUUGUUAGGGAAGAACAAGUGCUAGUUGAAUAAGCUGACACCUUGACGGUACCUAACCAGAAAGCCACGGCUAACUACGUGCCAGCCGCCGCCGUAA